rnacentral:rRNA from 1 species
AUCUACGGCCAUGCCACCCUGAACGUGCCUGAUCUCGUCUGAUCUCAGAAGCUAAGCAGGGUCGGGCCUGGUUGGUGCUUGGAUGGGAGACGACCUAGGAAUACCAGGUGCUGUAGGCG